AUUAAAGUUAAUGAGCUUGAAUAAGCAUAUAUUUUGAAAAUAUAAGAUAGAAAAAUAAUUUUCUAUUAACU
rnacentral:tRNA from 1 species